rnacentral:rRNA from 1 species
GACAGAGGGUGCAAACGUUGUUCGGAAUUACUGGGCGUAAAGCGUGUGUAGGCGGCCUAGCAAGUCGGAUGUGAAAGCCCCGGGCUCAACCCGGGAAGUGCACUCGAUACUGCAAGGCUCGAAUGUCGGAGAGGUUGGUGGAAUUCUCGGUGUAGAGGUGAAAUUCGUAGAUAUCGAGAGGAACACCGGUGGCGAAGGCGGCCAACUGGACGAACAUUGACGCUGAGACACGAAAGCGUGGGGAGCAAACAGG